rnacentral:rRNA from 1 species
GACGAACGCUGGCGGCGUGCCUAAUACAUGCAAGUUGAGCGCUGAAGGUUGGUACUUGUACCGACUGGAUGAGCAGCGAACGGGUGAGUAACGCGUGGGGAAUCUGCCUUUGAGCGGGGGACAACAUUUGGAAACGAAUGCUAAUACCGCAUAAAAACUUUAAACACAAGUUUUAAGUUUGAAAGAUGCAAUUGCAUCACUCAAAGAUGAUCCCGCGUUGUAUUAGCUAGUUGGUGAGGUAAAGGCUCACCAAGGCGAUGAUACAUAGCCGACCUGAGAGGGUGAUCGGCCACAUUGGGACUGAGACACGGCCCAAACUCCUACGGGAGGCAGCAGUAGGGAAUCUUCGGCAAUGGACGAAAGUCUGACCGAGCAACGCCGCGUGAGUGAAGAAGGGUUUCGGAUCGUAAAACUCUGUUGGUAGAGAAGAACGUUGGUGAGAGUGGAAAGCUCAUCAAGUGACGGUAACUACCCAGGAAGGGACGGCUAACUACGUG